rnacentral:tRNA from 1 species
UCCCGUGUGGCUCAGUUGGUAGAGCAUGGUGUUUGCAAUGCCAGGGUUGUGGGUUCGAUUCCCAUUGGGGAC